rnacentral:lncRNA from 1 species
AUGAAGAUUCUGGGAGAUGUAGUCCCAAAAACUAACAUUUCCACACACCGCUUGUUCCAAAUCCAAUUGCAUUACCACAAUGCUCCCAGCUUGGACACUUACCAACCCUCACCCUUGCCACAGACACUCCGGCUGAAGGUGCUCGACCCCGGCCUUCUUGGCACAGAGAAGAUUCGAACUCCUGGUUAUACCAGCUGUACCACCCCCAGCCUCACCCCCAAUUACUGCUCCUGCUAUUUCGAUGGGCAACGAAUCAACCCCCAGCGGGCGACUGGCGAUCUCUUUCGGUCAAGAGAUGGCAAAGAGAUCCAGUCAGAAAUAAUGAUGUUGGUCAGCCAAGCUUAUCUCCUCUCUGGAGGCCAUCUGACUUUGCCAUUAAGAAUAAAAGUGCAUCGUUUGCCUGAUCAUGGACAAUUUGGACAAGUUACAUUUGGAAAAGGUCUAAGACGUUCAUCCAUUUGUAGUAUCAUAAAUAUUAACUUUGUGUUUUAUCAAUAAAGGCUGUGUUUGCAUUAGCAUGUAAUCCUAAAGCUACCAUACUGUGCAUAGUUAUUUAUUUUUUCAGAUCCAUAGCUUACGAUGUCACAAGGGCUUCCAAAAAAGUCACAUGAAUUUCCAUGGUUCGACGCAGAAGUGAAUAUUUAUCCCCAUCCCUAAGGGCUUUCUAAUUUAAUGGUGCUUAGAAGUGGAAAAUAGUUAAUUCAAAAGCUAUUUAAUGCUUUAUCAAAUUGCAUUCCUUCAUGAUAUUCAGUUUUGAAUCACUACAAAAUCAAUCCAAACCUUUCUGUAUGAAGGGAACAAUUGUUUUCAGCAGCUGGUAUAGUAUUCAAAUACUAUAGUAGCUUUCUUCGCUGUCCCUUUUUUCUUAAACCUCUAAAGAUAUCAAUUAAAUUGUUGUUUUGGCUCUGGGCAGCUUCUUGAUCAGCAUUUCAGACAAGGCAAAGAAAAAACAUUUACAAAGUUUAUCUAAGUGAUGCAGUGCAUCAGCGAUAGUCUAGCGAAAUUAAAAAAUAAUUGUAUUUCCCCUGUCCCUCUGCUAAGGAGCAGGUGAAGUGUUCAGUUUCCCAGUCUUUUGAAGUGGCUUGUUUAUUAAACUGGAAAUUGACAGGAUGCUAGAAAAUGUAAGACUUUCUUCUUGGUCUAUUCCCAGAGAUCGCAUGUGCUGAAAAUGGAUCAAACUAGAGCAAACCGACCUACACAAAAAAACUAGAAGCCUCUGACAGUAGCUCAGAAAAGCAGAGGUAGGGGUGCUCUGGGGACAGAUUGGUUCACUAUAGCAUAUUGUCUGAACACCAGGGAAAAAGAGUGAGCUAACCCAUCCCUGCAGUGCAAACAGCAGGACAACUAUCUGUCGGAUUGAGUCCUAACUUGUGAGAAUGCAAUGGUUUAUAUUCAUGGUUCUCCCUCAAGGAAAAGGAAACAUUUCUAGGAUGAGAAAUUCAUUGGGCUCUGCCACUCCCCUUCAGACCUAUGGAAGUGGGUGCAGGGUGAGGCUGAUGGGAAUUGAGGCCCAGCAACAUCUGGAGGGUAAGAAGUUGCCCACAUGCAUUUUAACCUUUUUUUCUCCCCAUCCUGAAAAAAAUUCCUACACCCAGUUGCUGUUUGGCCCAACAUUGCUCCAAGAAGAUAGAGAGUUCUUAUGAGAUUAACUCCAAAAUUUGGGUAUAGAUUAAAGACUUAUUUCUCUCAUAAAAAAUUUACACUCUGGCACUACCUGUCAAGUUAGAUCUUCUUAGAAGGGCGAAUUAACCAACUAAUUUGCAACUAACAACGGGGUGAAGCGAGGAUGCAUCCUUGAUCCCUCCUUGUUCAACCUUUUUAUGAAUGAUCUAGCUCCUUAUUUAGCAAACAUGGAUGGUCACCUUCCCAAAUUAGGGGUAUACUCUGUUCCACUACUACUUUAUGUGGAUGAUGCUGUUAUUAUCUCACACUAUUACUUUAUGUGGAUGAUGCCGUUAUUAUCUCACGCACCUGUCCUGGUCUGAAACAUUUGAUUAAUAGCUGUGUGGAGUAUUUGGACAAAAACAAAAUGCAAUUGAAUUGCAACAAGUCUAAAAUACUGUACUAGUUUUUGCUAAGUCCUGGAAAUAAUUACAGUGGAAACUAAAUGGUAACAAUAUCAACAAGGACAAAUAUUUCAGGCUUUCUGUGCAGUCCAUACUUCGAUUUUAUUACAACACUGGCAACCGAUAUGUCUCAGCAGCACUACAAGUUUUUAAAUCUAAAAUCUCCCCACAAAUUCUGUAUGGCAUGCCAAUUUUCACAAAAUGCCAUGGAUCGCUCAACCAAACAGCUACAAUCCCACUUCUUACAUAAGGUAUUAGGCCUACCGAAGUGUGUUCCCUACUCGGUACUCUGUUUUGAGACCGGACUAUCCAUACUGCAAACAAUGGCAUGGUUGUGAACUUUUCAAUUCUGGCUAAAAAUGUUUUAUAACUCAGACCAAGACAGAUUAUUAUAUCAGCUUCUCCAAGAUUCUGACCCUCCUUUUGGGUGUAUUGCCCUUUAAAAAAACUGAAAUUGAUUGCCUCUUUAGGUUCAGUAUGUCUAGAGCUAGCUUUUCAAACAGUUAAUUGGUGAAUUAUGGACAUCGAGUUUCAGGAAUUAUGGAGCGCAACUGAUUUGUUCCCCGUUGUCUCUCCACAUCCCCUUUAAAAUGGGACAACCAGCUGCUUUCCUCAUGCUCCUUAAAUGUCCACAAAGCCGCAGGGCCUUUUCUCUGGCCAGAUGUAACGUCAUGCCUGAUGCUGUACUGUAUGGUCAGAAUAACGGAACCCCUUAUUCCAAAAGAUAUUGUCCAUGUGAGCAGGGUGCUUUGGAAACCCUCACUCACAUGUUCUUGCACUGUCCGCUUCAUCAGGACUGCUGCAAAGAGUACAUCACCUCGAUAUUAUUACAGCAGGAAGGUAAAUCAGAUCUGGACAAGGUCUGUUUUAUGUUAUCAGUGGAGGUGGUUGACAUUAUGGAACAAGUAGCUGUUUUCCUUGAGUCAAUUGUUAGGAGGCGAAGCCUUGAACUCGAACAAAUGUAUAUAUUUCCCGCUCCCUGUGAAUCCACAAAUCACUUGACUAUGUCUAUUUUAUAUGCCAGUAAAGGUUUUAAUCACUUACAAGAGUUGGUACUUUUUUAUUUUUACAGUUUCCCUAUUUAUUAAUUCCUAUAUCAUCCAGUACCUAAAGUUAUAUUGAUAUUUAUCUGUUUAUAUAUUUACUGUAUGUCUGUGCCACCCAAUAGCUGAAGUUCCCUCAGUGCUUCACAUAACAGAAAUUGAAACCAGAGAUAUGAAACAGAAUAAAACAUUUAUUUUUUAUUUAUUUGAUUUAUUU